rnacentral:rRNA from 1 species
AAACGGGUUAAUAUUCCCGUACUUGGUGUUACUGCGAAGGGGGGACGGAGAAGGCUAUGUUGGCCGGGCGACGGUUGUCCCGGUUUAAGCGUGUAGGCUGGUUUUCCAGGCAAAUCCGGAAAAUCAAGGCUGAGGCGUGACGACGAGGCACUACGGUGCUGAAGCAACAAAUGCCCUGCUUCCAGGAAAAGCCUCUAAGCAUCAGGUAACAUCAAAUCGUACCCCAAACCGACACAGGUGGUCAGGUAGAGAAUACCAAGGCGCUUGAGAGAACUCGGGUGAAGGAACUAGGCAAAAUGGUGCCGUAACUUCGGGAGAAGGCACGCUGACACGUAGGUGAAGUGAUUUACUCAUGGAGCUGAAGUCAGUCGAAGAUACCAGCUGGCUGCAACUGUUUAUUAAAAACACAGCACUGUGCAAACACGAAAGUGGACGUAUACGGUGUGACGCCUGCCCGGUGCCGGAAGGUUAAUUGAUGGGGUCAGCGCAAGCGAAGCUCCUGAUCGAAGCCCCGGUAAACGGCGGCCGUAACUAUAACGGUCCUAAGGUAGCGAAAUUCCUUGUCGGGUAAGUUCCGACCUGCACGAAUGGCGUAAUGAUGGCCAGGCUGUCUCCACCCGAGACUCAGUGAAAUUGAACUCGCUGUGAAGAUGCAGUGUACCCGCGGCAAGACGGAAAGACCCCGUGAACCUUUACUAUAGCUUGACACUGAACAUUGAGCCUUGAUGUGUAGGAUAGGUGGGAGGCUUUGAAGUGUGGACGCCAGUCUGCAUGGAGCCGACCUUGAAAUACCACCCUUUAAUGUUUGAUGUUCUAACGUGGACCCGUUACCCGGGUUGCGGACAGUGUCUGGUGGGUAGUUUGACUGGGGCGGUCUCCUCCUAAAGAGUAACGGAGGAGCACGAAGGUUGGCUAAUCCUGGUCGGACAUCAGGAGGUUAGUGCAAUGGCAUAAGCCAGCUUGACUGCGAGCGUGACGGCGCGAGCAGGUGCGAAAGCAGGUCAUAGUGAUCCGGUGGUUCUGAAUGGAAGGGCCAUCGCUCAACGGAUAAAAGGUACUCCGGGGAUAACAGGCUGAUACCGCCCAAGAGUUCAUAUCGACGGCGGUGUUUGGCACCUCGAUGUCGGCUCAUCACAUCCUGGGGCUGAAGUAGGUCCCAAGGGUAUGGCUGUUCGCCAUUUAAAGUGGUACGCGAGCUGGGUUUAGAACGUCGUGAGACAGUUCGGUCCCUAUCUGCCGUGGGCGCUGGAGAACUGAGGGGGGCUGCUCCUAGUACGAGAGGACCGGAGUGGACGCAUCACUGGUGUUCGGGUUGUCAUGCCAAUGGCACUGCCCGGUAGCUAAAUGCGGAAGAGAUAAGUGCUGAAAGCAUCUAAGCACGAAACUUGCCCCGAGAUGAGUUCUCCCUGAGACUUAGAGUCUCCUGAAGGAACGUUGAAGACGACGACGUUGAUAGGCCGGGUGUGUAAGCGCAGCGAUGCGUUGAGCUAACCGGUACUAAUGAACCGUGAGG